AGCUCCAAUAGCGUAUAUUAAAGUUGUUGUGGUUAAAAAGCUCAUAGUUGGAUUUCGGCGGGUUGAGGGUGGUUUGAAUUGAUUUAACACUGACUUUUUUUCCCGGGUGUUUUGCCAGAAUUUUACGGGGGGUCUUUUACGAUUGUCCGUUGGAACUGGCAGGUUUACUUUGAAAAAAUUAGAGUGCUCAAAGCAAGCUUACUGCUUGAAUAGUUGCGCAUGGAAUAAUAGAAUAGGAAGUCGUUUCUAUUUUGUUGGUUUUCGGAAAUCGACUUAAUGAUUAAUAGGGAUAGUCGGGGGCAUUCGUAUUCAAACGACAGAGGUGAAAUUCUUGGACCGUUUGAAGACGAACUAAGGCGAAAGCAUUUGCCAAGAAUGUUUUCA
rnacentral:rRNA from 1 species